UUGGAGGGCAAGUCUGGUGCCAGCAGCCGCGGUAAUUCCAGCUCCAAUAGCGUAUAUUAAAGUUGUUGCAGUUAAAAAGCUCGUAGUUGAAUUUCGGGAUCAGAUUGUCGGUCGUGCCUCGGUACGCACUGGCAUUAUUGGUCCCUACCUUCUGAAGAACCGCGAUGUCAUUAAUUUGGUGUCGUGGGGAAUCAGGACUGUUACUUUGAAAAAAUUAGAGUGUUUAAAGCAGGC
rnacentral:rRNA from 1 species